rnacentral:tRNA from 1 species
GCCUGUGUAGCUCAAUUGGAAGAGCGGUAGACUUCUAUGGGUAUGACAUCUACAGGUCGCGGGUUCGAGCCCCGCCACGGGUU